CAACAACCCUCAGAGCUCCCAAAUGCUCCCAAAUGUUCACCUCCCAAAGGCCCAAACUUCUGUCUGACUUCCUGCUCAUCUUCUUGCGGGACUUCUUGUUCAGCAGGCUAUUCUUCCCAAUUGCGAAGGUUGGGGCUUCGGAACACUGCCAAUCGCAAGAAAAUUCACCACCCACAACCUCGCUGUCUUAGGGGUGGCACCACCUACCACUGCAAAGAAGAAGAGUGCUAAGAAACUAUGCACAAAGGAGGGUAAAUAGCUACAGUGACCUCUCCACCUAAACUCAUGAAUUCUACCAGGGUAGCCAGACCCUACACCUCUCUUGGCUAGGAAAACAUUUCUUGUUUUUCUCUUUAACCCACCCUUUCAGUUCAACAACAAUAAAAUUGAUCAUGUGCAUA
rnacentral:lncRNA from 1 species